rnacentral:tRNA from 1 species
AUUUUCUUAGUAUUAAUUUAAAGUACAUUUGAUUUCCAAUCAAAAAGUCUAAAAAUUAGAGAAAAUA